UAGGAUAAUAGUUAAAAAUAACAUCUGUUCUGCAUUCAGAAAGUAUUGAAAUAUCAAUUUAUCUUAA
rnacentral:tRNA from 1 species